ACUGCAUGAGGAACGGAGGUCCUGAAUGCCCAGCCCAUACAGCGCGCAACACCGCCAUACUUGAAUAUCUACCCAAGACAGCUGAAAAAGAAGACCAGUGUCAAGUUUACUAUCGGAGGACAACUCGCUGAUUCCAAAGGAUAUCUGGCCGUGGGCUUCAGCAAGGAUGACCAUCGGUUAAGUGAGGCUGACCUCAGCGUGUGUUACCUAGAGGGAGAUAAUGCCACUGUCGGUGUUGAGCACUAUCUCCUGAAGAACAUUGACUACUCGCCUGACCUCCAUCUCGGGGAAUUACAAUUAGAGUCUGCUGACGUGGACGAGGAUUACGUGUGGUGCACCUUCACAAGACCCAUCACCGGAGGCGGACACAACCAGCUGCGUCUGUCAGAGCCAUAUUACUACUAUUAUUUUUGGGGCGCCAGAAAUGGCACUACCAUCUACCUACCGCCAGCUCAGAGCAUGAAAAGGUCAGAGAAGCUAAUCAGCACUAACGACAACCUCUUCAACUACAUCAUGUACAGCUCAGCCAAGAGUCGCCAGGCGCCAUAUAGCGUAGUAGCCGCCGCCCUGCUGCUGGCCGGCGUGCACUUUAUGUGCUGGUGAAGGUUUCAGAACGUUCGGAACAGGUCCACGUUCAGUCGGAUCAUUAUGCUAAUCAUUUACUUCGUGCUAGUAGCGUUCUCAGUGUUCCAAAUUUCGUUCUUCAUUGUUAACCGCGUCCGGACAAGUUCAGACCAAAUGGUGCUUGUUUAUGGCUUCGAAAUAGAAACCGCUGUACCAGGUUGAA